rnacentral:sRNA from 1 species
CGCCUAAACUCAUCAGAUUCUGGUGAGCAUGGCACAAAAACUAGUUAGGUAUAUUAAGCUCUCCGUCCAGAGCACCUAACUAGUCAUAUCGGGAAACCGGUAUGGGUAGCUGCAAGGCUAUC